rnacentral:piRNA from 1 species
UGAGCAUUACUGACAUUUUGGGCCAGAUC